GUGGCUCGUCUGUCGGGGAACCCCUGGAACGGGGGCUAAUACCGGAUAAGUCGAAAGAUAAAAGGUUAACUGCCUGAAGAGGAGCUCGCGUCUGAUUAGCUAGUAGGUGUGAUAAAAGCGCACCUAGGCGACGAUCAGUAGCUGGUCUGAGAGGAUGAGCAGCCACACUGGGACUGAGACACGGCCCAGACUCCUACGGGAGGCAGCAGUGGGGAAUUUUCCGCAAUGGGCGAAAGCCUGACGGAGCAAGACCGCGUGGGGGAGGAAGGCCUUUGGGUUGUAAACCCCUUUUGUUAGGGAAGAAGACAGUGACGGUACCUAACGAAUCAGCCUCGGCUAACUCCGUGCCAGCAGCCGCGGUAAUACGGAGGAGGCAAGCGUUAUCCGGAAUUAUUGGGCGUAAAGCGUCCGUAGGUGGCCCGGCCAGUCUGCUGUCAAAGACCACAGCUCAACUGUGGAAAGGCAGUGGAAACUGCAAGGCUAGAGUGCGGUAGGGGUAGAGGGAAUUCCCAGUGUAGCGGUGAAAUGCGUAGAGAUUGGGAAGAACACCGGUGGCGAAAGCGCUCUACUGGGCCGCAACUGACACUGAUGGACGAAAGCUAGGGGAGCGAAUGGGAUUAGAUACCCCAGUAAUCAAACGCGUUACCCAC
rnacentral:rRNA from 1 species